UGGGGAAUAUUGGACAAUGGGCGAAAGCCUGAUCCAGCCAUGCCGCGUGUGUGAAGAAGGUCUUCGGAUUGUAAAGCACUUUAAGUUGGGAGGAAGGGCAGUAAGCGAAUACCUUGCUGUUUUGAGGUUACCGAAGGAAUAAGCACCGGCUAACUCUGUGCCAGAAGCCGCGGUAAUACAGAGGGUGCAAGCGUUAAUCGGAAUUACUGGGCGUAAAGCGCGCGUAGGUGGUUCGUUAAGUUGAAUGUGAAAGCCCCGGGCUCAACCUGGGAACUGCAUCCAAAACUGGCGAGCUAGAGUAGGGCAGAGGGUGGUGGAAUUUCCUGUGUAGCGGUGAAAUGCGUAGAUAUAGGAAGGAACACCAGUGGCGAAGGCGACCACCUGGGCUCAUACUGACACUGAGGUGCGAAAGCGUGGGGAGCAAACAGG
rnacentral:rRNA from 1 species